AUUGAACGCUGGCGGCAGGCCUAACACAUGCAAGUCGGACGAGCGGCGGACGGGUGAGUAAUGUCUGGGGAACUGCCUGAUGGAGGGGGAUAACUACUGGAAACGGUAGCUAAUACCGCAUACCAUCAGAUGUGCCCAUAUGGGAUUAGCUAGUAGGUGGGGUAACGGCUCACCUAGGCGACGAUCCCUAGCUGGUCUGAGAGGAUGACCAGCCACACUGGAACUGAGACACGGUCCAGACUCCUACGGGAGGCAGCAGUGGGGAAUAUUGCACAAUGGGCGCAAGCCUGAUGCAGCCAUGCCGCGUGUAUGAAGAAGGCCUUCGGGUUGUAAAGUACUUUCAGCGGGGAGGCGUUACCGACAGAAGAAGCACCGGCUAACUCCGUGCCAGCAGCCGCGGUAAUAC
rnacentral:rRNA from 1 species